UACGAAGGGGGCUAGCGUUGCUCGGAAUCACUGGGCGUAAAGCGCACGUAGGCGGCUUUUUAAGUCAGGGGUGAAAUCCUGGAGCUCAACUCCAGAGCUGCCUUUGAUACUGGGAAGCUUGAGUCCGGGAGAGGUGAGUGGAACUCCGAGUGUAGAGGUGAAAUUCGUAGAUAUUCGGAAGAACACCAGUGGCGAAGGCGGCUCACUGGCCCGGUACUGACGCUGAGGUGCGAAAGCGUGGGGAGCAAACAGG
rnacentral:rRNA from 1 species